rnacentral:lncRNA from 1 species
AUUUGCCAAAGUGGAGUGAAAAGUUUCGAGGGCAGCAGGAGCUGGGCCCAGAAAUCAGCUCCUGUGUCAUCAUGGCAUGUUGAAAGCAGGGGGAGAGGAUGCUUCAAUGUAGUUCUCUGGAAGUCCAGUGAGAUACCAAAACAAUUCCCAGGAAUCAGGGAACUGAACCUGCUGCCACGGAGCAGCGGAGCCGGUGGGAAGCAUUCCCUCCACAUCCAGCUUUUCCAGCUCUUGCCAGCUUUUUUCUCCGGAAGCAGUCACAGAUGCAGCUCUUGGUUACAAAUCCAAGAGCAGGAAUUCCUUGGGAGUGGGAUCAGGAUUCCCCUUUGCUGUCAGGGAAUCUCUUCUGUGGCACCACAGCUCGGGCAGAGCCGAGAUUUGGGAAGAGCAGCCUGGACCUGGCUGUUUGGGAGAGGAGCAGCCACAUUCCAUCCCUUGCCUGGUUUUCCUGGGCUCACAAACCCCCAGCACUGGGGUCCUUCCUGCUCCAAAAUUACUUCCAAAAUCAGCACCAGGGAUGUUUUUUCCAGGUGGAAAGAAUCCAUCUCCUGUUUUCUUCUGGUUGAUUCAGGGGCUUCGCUCCAGACUGACAGGACACACUCGGACACUCCACGUCUGUCACCUUCCCAAAGGUGUGGGAUUGGCCACUGGUUUGGAAAACAACAGCACUGUGCAGGUCAGGGAACAGUGUUCCAGCACUGUUUGUCUCACUGGCUCAAUCCAAAGCCCAAGUGUGGUUUGCAUCAUGCAUGGAAAAACAUGGGAAGAGCUCUGCCUGCUUUCCUUCGGGAUUUCGUGCCUGCAGAUGGAUCUGGAGAGUCACCUGCAGGAACAUCCAAAGGCAUGAGGGCCCUUCCAAUGAUCCUCCAGCAAAGCUGCUUCAUCUGGAAAUCUGCCUUCUGCUCCAUGGAAUCCCAGGAUGGUUUGGUUUGGAAGGGACCAAAAAGGUCAUCUCGUUCCACCCCCUGUUCCACGGGCAGGGACACCUUCCACAAUCCCAGGUUUCUCCAAGCCCUGUCCAACCUGGCCUUGGACACUUCCAGGGCUGGGGCAGGGUUUCUUUCUCACAGAGAAAACCCCCCAACCCCUGGCUGGUUGUUAGAGGUGCAAAAGUUGUGUUUAGGAGCUGAAAAGAAGGUUGAAAAGCUGCAGGAAAAGCUUGUUAGGGGGAAAAAAAUAUAA